rnacentral:lncRNA from 1 species
UCACUUUAGGAUCUUGUCAAGCAAAUGGCUGUGAAUAAUCUUCAAUUUCAACAACGAACAAAUUCUAGUAUUCAGACUUUGCAAACACAAAUUGGAUAGCUUGCCACUUCAAUGAAUGCCAUGCAAAAAGCUCAAGGAUUGAACCAACUACCUGCCCAAACAAUAGUUAAUCCAAAGGGCCCUAAUGUGAGUGCAAUUUCCUUAAGGACCGAAAAAGUUG